AGCCUCGCCCCCUUGCACACAGCUGCACGGAUCCCAGGGGGUUUGCAUCUCUCUGAGCCGGGCUCUCUGGGGCCAUGGGAGGCCCUGGGGCGGGACGUGGGGCGCCAGCGGUGGCACUGCUGGCAGUCCUGGCUUCUGCUCUGCUGAUCCCAGGGACCGGCUCCCUGCGCUGUCACAGCCACAGCUCCGUCCUGCUCCGCGACCGGGGGGGUAAACACCUCGACAGCGUCGUCACCCACAAUGGCACCGAGUCCUGCGCCCCGGCCCACGGCGCCUGCAUGGAGGCUGCCAUCACCCUCAGCGCAGGGGGCAUGUCCGUGACUGUGAUCCAAAGGGGGUGCAGAGAUGGACACCCCAAGGGAGGGACCGAACCCCCCGCUGUGCCCAGCAGAUUCCUCCACAUCCAGGCCGAUGUCCGCUACUGCCAGUCUGACCAGUGCAAUGCCAAGGGGCUCGGGCUGGGGCGCCCUGGCCAGAGCACAGCUUCGGCCCCCAGCGGCCCCACCCAGUGCUACGCCGGCCUGAGCCUCGGCCCCCAGCCCCACACUCUGGAGCGGGUGACGUGCGACGGGGACGACGCCCGCUGUUACCAUGGCAAUGUCACCCUCACAGCAGGGAAGCUCACGGUGCCCAUCUUGGUGUGGAGCUGCCAGGCCCCGUCCUGCGCCGUGCCGCCCAGCCGCCACGUCGGCCCCCUGCACCUCAGCCAGGCCGGCGCCUGCUGCACCGGCAGCUACUGCAACGGGCAGAGGGCCCUGGCACAGGUCUCUGGAAACGUCAGCGAUGACCCCCUCGCCAACACCACGGCCAGGAAAGACCACAAACACCCCGGGCGCAGCCACGGCACGGCUCCCACGAGGCCGCCCUACCUAGACGAUAGCACGGAGACACAAUAUCUGGACCCAGACGUCACCGUCUACGACAACUACACGGAGCCAUCCGACCCCGGCUACAAGGGGGACCUGCCCCACAGCUCCCGCCCCCGCGCCCGCCCCACCGAGCCCGGCAAGAAAAACAGCUACCCCAAAUCCACCGCCCACCCCGGCCACAAGCAACCCAAUCCCGGGGCCCAGGGCUCCCAGGCGCCCGGACUACGCCUCUGCCCCCUGCUGGUGGUGCUGGGGAUAGCCCACCUGUGGCUGUGAGGGGGGCUGGGGGCCAGGACGCCUGGGUCCUCCCCCCAGCUCUGGGAGGGGAGUGGGGUCUAGUGGGUUGGAGCAAGGGGGGCUGGGGACCCAAGAUUCCUGGGUUCUUGCCCCAACUCUUAGUAGCUAUGAGGAAGUCACUCCCCCGCCACACACACACACACACACAUUGCUUGCCUCAGUUUCCCCACAUUGAAAGGGAGGGCUCCUAGAGAUGGGGGGUCGCUCCCCAUUUCCCUGCAUUGCUGCUGAUGAUUUCAGUCCCCA
rnacentral:lncRNA from 1 species